rnacentral:rRNA from 1 species
GAUGAACGCUGGCGGCGUGCCUAAUACAUGCCAGUCGAGCGAACGGACGAGAAGCUUGCUUCUCUGAUGUUAGCGGCGGACGGGUGAGUAACACGUGGAUAACCUACCUAUAAGACUGGGAUAACUUCGGGAAACCGGAGCUAAUACCGGAUAAUAUUUUGAACCGCAUGGUUCAAAAGUGAAAGACGGUCUUGCUGUCACUUAUAGAUGGAUCCGCGCUGCAUUAGCUAGUUGGUAAGGUAACGGCUUACCAAGGCAACGAUGCAUAGCCGACCUGAGAGGGUGAUCGGCCACACGGGAACUGAGACACGGUCCAGACUCCGACGGGAGGCAGCAGUAGGGAAUCUUCCGCAAUGGGCGAAAGCCUGACGGAGCAACGCCGCGUGAGUGAUGAAGGUCUUCGGAUCGUAAAACUCUGUUAUUAGGGAAGAACAUAUGUGUAAGUAACUGUGCACAUCUUGACGGUACCUAAUCAGAAAGCCACGGCUAACUACGUG